AUCGCUUCUCGGCCUUUUGGCUAAGAUCAAGUGUAGAAAUGGGUGCCAUGAUAUGUUGCCUAGUGUCAUACUCAGUAUUCAUUCUCAAACAUUAUGUCACAACUUCAAAAAAUUCACUACUAGAAUCCAUUUUUUUUAAAUUAAAUUUCUCCUUUGUAGAAGAAAUACAAGUGGAGAACACUUACA